rnacentral:tRNA from 1 species
GCCCCUGUUGUCUAAUGGUUAUGACGUCAGACUUCUAGCUCUUUAUGAUCAGCUUUAUCUGGAGGUUGCGGGUUCGAGUCCUGCCAGGGGCU